rnacentral:rRNA from 1 species
AAAUUGAAGAGUUUGAUCAUGGCUCAGAUUGAACGCUGGCGGCAGGCCUAACACAUGCAAGUCGAACGGUAACAGGAAGCAGCUUGCUGUUUCGCUGACGAGUGGCGGACGGGUGAGUAAUGUCUGGGAAACUGCCUGAUGGAGGGGGAUAACUACUGGAAACGGUAGCUAAUACCGCAUAACGUCG